rnacentral:rRNA from 1 species
GGGUUGUGAGGUUAAGCGACUAAGCGUACACGGUGGAUGCCCUGGCAGUCAGAGGCGAUGAAGGGCGUGCUAAUCUGCGAUAAGCGCCGGUAAGGUGAUAUGAACCGUUAUAACCGGCGAUACCCGAAUGGGGAAACCCAGUGUGACUCGUCACACUAUCAUUAACUGAAUCCAUAGGUUAAUGAGGCGAACCGGGGGAACUGAAACAUCUAAGUACCCCGAGGAAAAGAAAUCAACCGAGAUUCCCCCAGUAGCGGCGAGCGAACGGGGAGGAGCCCAGAGCCUGAAUCAGCAUGUGUGUUAGUGGAAGCGUCUGGAAAGGCGCGCGAUACAGGGUGACAGCCCCGUACACAAAAGCGCAUGUGCUGUGAGCUCGAUGAGUAGGGCGGGACACGUGGUAUCCUGUCUGAAUAUGGGGGGACCAUCCUCCAAGGCUAAAUACUCCUGACUGACCGAUAGUGAACCAGUACCGUGAGGGAAAGGCGAAAAGAACCCCGGCGAGGGGAGUGAAAAAGAACCUGAAACCGUGUACGUACAAGCAGUGGGAGCCCCACCACUAAGCCAGUGGUGAACUCCACAUACGCAUCCUUUGCUGAGGAUACGGUUAACGGAGCGCAAGCGACGUUCAACCGCAAAAGAAGCAGAGGGGGCUUAGUGGUGGGGUGACUGCGUACCUUUUGUAUAAUGGGUCAGCGACUUAUAUUCUGUAGCAAGGUUAACCGUAUAGGGGAGC